UUUAUCAUGGGGCUUAAAAAUAUUUAUAUGCACAAGAGUGUUGGACUAAACUAUGGUUCCAGACAUAUUUAUGUAGGCAGUGAAAAAACUACAAAGUAAUCCCUUUCUAGAGUUUUCCACCAGUUCCAUCUUAACGUCAUGAGAUGAUUAACAAGUUCCGACUUAUUUAUGCAAGAAAGGAUUGUCUUCGGGUAUCUCCAUGAGAGGAGCCCUUGAUACCUUCAGGGACAGGCAUCUUCCCCAUGGCACUCUGAAGAACUGACCGACACUUCACAACACUGGACUGAAAUGUUGAUGUGGCCAACGUCCCUCAUCAGUCAUCAUGAGGGAGGCGGAAUCCAUGAGCGUGGUGGACAUUACAUGGAAGGAAAAUGAGACCAUGGCAGGGGUGGGGGAAGGGAAUCACAGGGCACAGCCUCACUUGCUUAAGCUUUUUGGACUUUUAAAUUGUUCCAUGUGCAUGAGCUAAACUUCAGUUAACUAAGGCAUUGCUUUUUGCUUAUUUGUUUGUUUUUCAGCAGUUUAGUCUUUAUUCUAAUAAAACUGCUUGGAAAAAUAUGGAUGGAUUGCUAUUUUUUAAUUGUUAUUCUUUUAAAGUGGGUUAAAAAAAACUUUUUUUUAAUUAGACUGGAUAAGACACAGAUGGAUUGCAUGGAAAUAAUUAACUUACAACAUUGUCUUUUAAUCACAUAGUUUCUCACAUGCUUUAGAAGUAUGAUAUUAAUCACAAUUCUAAGAAGGGGCAGGUUUACAUUGCCGUAUGAAGUCUUAUCAUGCCUAUCUCCUCUAACUGUCAGAGGAAAUAUUAUAUACACAUAACAAUAUAUAGAGCAAGAGUAUGAAUAACGUAGACAGUAUAAAUUAUAGAGUGAAUCAGUUAUAUAUAAAAAGUAUAUAAAGUACCCGACAUAUAGAAUAGGUAGAGUAAUAGGAUAUACUACUCUCUAUGUGUUCAUAAAUAGAUUUAUGAGUGUAUUACUUUCCACACAUUCACAGAAAGUAUUUGUUUCUGAAACUAUAAGAAGAUUGAAUUUUCACAAGUCACAAAAUACCAGAACUUUCAAGGUGUUCUAAAAUUAGGUAGAAAAUAGUUACUUAUAAGAAAACAUCCAGAAAUGCAUCAUUAACU